UACGUAGGGUGCGAGCGUUGUCCGGAAUUAUUGGGCGUAAAGAGCUUGUAGGCGGUCUGUCGCGUCUGCUGUGAAAAUCCGGGGCUCAACCCCGGACUUGCAGUGGGUACGGGCAGGCUAGAGUGUGGUAGGGGAGACUGGAAUUCCUGGUGUAGCGGUGAAAUGCGCAGAUAUCAGGAGGAACACCGAUGGCGAAGGCAGGUCUCUGGGCCACUACUGACGCUGAGAAGCGAAAGCGUGGGUAGCAAACAGG
rnacentral:rRNA from 1 species